rnacentral:rRNA from 1 species
GACGAACGCUGGCGGCGUGCUUAACACAUGCAAGUCGAGCGGUAAGGCCCUUUCGGGGGUACACGAGCGGCGAACGGGUGAGUAACACGUGGGUGACCUGCCCUCAGCUCUGGGAUAAGCCUGGGAAACUGGGUCUAAUACCGGAUAUGACUCCAUGACGCAUGUUGUGGGGUGGAAAGCCUUGUGCGGCUGAGGAUGGGCCCGCGGCCUAUCAGCUUGUUGGUGGGGUGAUGGCCUACCAAGGCGACGACGGGUAGCCGGCCUGAGAGGGCGACCGGCCACACUGGGACUGAGGCACGGCCCAGACUCCUACGGGAGGCAGCAGUGGGGAAUCUUGCGCAAUGGGCGAAAGCCUGACGCAGCGACGCCGCGUGAGGGAUGACGGCCU